UUAAAUUUUAAUUAUUGGAAAAUUAGCAAUUUGGCACUCGAUUUGACACCAAUAGUAAUUUUUGCAGUUUUUCAAAAUUUUUUUUGUUGAUGCUUAUUGAAAGAAUGCAUAAAAGUGGUAACAUUUAGAAGCAGCAUGAGAGUGCAGAAUAAUAAACAAUUUAUUACUUACCAGAGGUCUGUCCAUAUCUCCUAAGAUUUCCCACAAAUCAGCCAAGGUCACCAGUCCAAUUAAUCCUACAACAAACAGCCCAACAAACUUAACAGAACUGCAACAGGCUAACAUAAUUCCUGUAAAUACCAACCACAACCACCAUUUUAAGGAAAAUUCUGGGUUCUUAUUAUAGGAGACUUUAAUGGCUCCUAAAAUUGAUCCAGUCAUAAAACAAAGCAGAAUUGGAUCUAGAAGAAUAUACUGUGAAAGUGUAAUAAGACCAACAUC